UACAUUCUAUCAUACACCAAACUCAACCUGUGCAUGCACUGAACUUAUACAUAAUCAUAAACUUGACCCCUCUGUGGGAUCUCAUCAAUGCCCCCAAUGGGGUGACAUAACAAGUGUUGAGUUGGCUAAACAUGGACAUCAAUAAACAUUAAGAUCAUGUAUCAAAAGGGAUUACAAUACACUAUGGUCAAGCACACUUCUAACCUCAAUAUCGUUACAUUACAUAUCUAUGCAUCAUUACACAAUUUGUCAUGUCCACAUUCUAACUAUUAUAUACAUAAGACUUCCUUACUCCUCUUGACUUCUCUGUCUAACCCGUACCUGCAAACCUGGGGAAAAUUUGGGAGAGGGGUGAGCUACUAGAGCCCAGUGAGCAGAAUAGUAAAGCAUUUAAAACAUAUGAUAACAUGAAAUGCAUCACAUCACAACUAAUCAUAUCAAGGAUGAACUUGUCACCAUUUAGCCCUCUAUAUAAUCCAAUCAUGCCAGGGGCGUAGUGCAGGCCACACCUGGUCUUUCUCUUAUACAUAACAUAACAUAACAUACAUAAUCCAUAGUGCCGGGGGCGUAGUGUAAGCCACGUCCGGUCUUUCUCUUACAUAGUGUCAGGGGCGUAGUGCAGGCCACACCUGGACUUCCAUACCAUAUCAUCAUAUCAUAACAUAUGAGGGCUAAUGGAUCAUUCAACAUUCAUCCACAUCAACAACAUAUUAUGCAAUGCAACAUAUUCGUGAUUUCUAAUGCAAGCAUCCUAAAAUAUCACAUGGCAUCCGUGGUGCAUGAACAUGCUCAACAUUGAUUUAUUUAUUUAUUUAAAAGCAUAAGAGUCAUUCCACUCACCUCUGGCUAGCUCUGACACUGACUGAAGCAGCUGACUCACUGCUGAGGUCCUCGGUUCCUCGG
rnacentral:lncRNA from 1 species